GACGAACGCUGGCGGCGUGCCUAAUACAUGCAAGUCGAGCGAACGAGGAAGAAACUUGUUUCUUCCUUUGUUAGCGGCGGAUGGGUGAGUAACACGUGGGCAACCUGCCCUGCAGUUGGGGAUAACUCCGGGAAACCGGGGCUAAUACCGAAUAAUUAGUUCCUUCGCAUGAAGGAACUCUGAAAGACGGCUAUGCUGUCACUACAGGAUGGGCCCGCGGCGCAUUAGCUAGUUGGUGAGGUAACGGCUUACCAAGGCGACGAUGCGUAGCCGACCUGAGAGGGUGAUCGGCCACACUGGGACUGAGACACGGCCCAGACUCCUACGGGAGGCAGCAGUAGGGAAUCUUCCACAAUGGACGAAAGUCUGAUGGAGCAACGCCGCGUGAGCGAAGAAGGUUUUCGGAUCGUAAAGCUCUGUUGUGAGGGAAGAACAAGUAUAGGAGUAACUGCCUGUACCUUGACGGUACCUCAUUAGAAAGCCACGGCUAACUACGUGCCAGCCGCCGCAGUAAAAC
rnacentral:rRNA from 1 species